UUAAAAAAAAGAUCUAAAAUGUUCGUUGUUUGUCAUCAGUCUCCCCUCUUUCUCUUUACUUACUUUUUUUCUCUCUUAAAAAAGCCAACGAAAACUCAAAAAGAUUGCAAUCGCCAGGAAAGAAUGAAGCUAUAGAGAGAGAAGGGGAGAGAAGGAGAGAGCGUAUUUUCAAAAACAAAACGGAAGAAAAGCAAAAUUCAAGCUCAAAUGCCGAGAUUUCUUCUUCUUCAUUCAUGGCUUCUCAUAUUUUGCUUAGUUUUCUCCACUUAUUUGGCAAGACCUUCACCCUGGGUCAUGCGCAUAAGCUGUGGAGCUCGUCAAAAUAUGCAUACUCCACCAACCAACACACUUUGGUAUAAGGAUUUUGCAUAUACAGGAGGAAUUCCUACUGAUUCAUCUAAGACUAGUUAUAUUGCUCCUCCACUUAAAACUCUCCGCUAUUUUCCGCUAUCUGAAGGUCCCAAUAAUUGCUACAAUAUUAAAAAAGUGCCAAGAGGACAUUAUUCUGUAAGGAUCUUCUUUGGAUUGGUUGCACAUCAUGAUCCUGAUCCUAAUUUUGAUAAUGAACCUUUAUUUGACAUUUCUAUCGAAGGCACCCAGAUUUAUUCUUUACAAUCAGGUUGGAGCAACCAUGACGAUCAAACAUUUACUGAAGCGCAAGUGUUCCUCACAGAUGGUACUGCCUCGAUUUGCUUCCAUAGCACUGGUCAUGGAGAUCCAGCAAUACUUUCGAUUGAAAUUCUUGAAGUUGAUGAUAAAGCAUACUAUUUCGGCCCAGAGUGGGGUCGAGAGGUAAUCCUCAGAACAUUGAGCAGAUUGAGUUGUGGCAAUGGGAAGUCAAAAUUUGAUGUAGAUUAUAGUGGGGACCGAUGGGGUGGAGAUAGAUUAUGGAGUCGCAUGACUACAUUUGGACGGAAUUCUGAUAAAGCUAUAUCUACUGAAAAUAGCAUUAAGAAGGCUUCAAGUGCACCAAACUUUUACCCGGAUACUCUUUAUCAGACUGCCCUUGUUAGCACUGAUAGUCAGCUAGAUUUGGCAUAUACAAUGGACGUAGAUCCUAAUAAAAACUAUUCAGUUUGGCUACACUUUGCUGAGAUUGAUGUUUCAGUCACCGGUGUAGGGCAAAGGAUAUUUGACAUCCUGAUUAAUGGUCAUAUUGUAUUUGAAGGAGUCGACAUAGCCAAAAUGAGUGGGGAUCGUUAUACGGCUCUUGUACUGAACACAACAGUUGCUGUUAAUGGGAGAACUUUGACAAUAACCUUGCGCCCUAAAGAAGGUAGCUAUGCCAUAAUCAAUGCCAUUGAGGUUUUUGAGGUUAUCACAGCUGAGUCCAAAACUUUAUUGGAAGAAGUUAGGGCUUUACAGGCAUUAAAGGGUGCAUUGGGUCUUCCACUUCGGUUUGGCUGGAAUGGUGAUCCGUGUGUUCCCCAACAACAUCCAUGGAGUGGAGCAGAGUGUCAAUUGGAUAGAGCUAGCAGCAAAUGGAUCAUUGAUGGACUUGGUCUUGACAACCAAGGUUUGAGGGGCUUCCUGCCAAAUGAAAUAUCUGGGCUUCAUCAUUUACAAAGCAUAAACUUAAGUGCUAACAACAUUCAUGGGGCUAUUCCACCAUCCAUUGGAAUGAUAACCAGCUUAGAAGUACUGGACCUCUCUUACAACUUCUUUAAUGGAUCAGUUCCUGACAGCAUUGGACAGUUGACAUCAGUGCGGAGAUUGAAUCUCAAUAGCAACUCUCUGUCUGGAAGAGUCCCAGCUGCAUUAGGAGACAGGCUUUUGCGUGGAGCUAGCUUCAAUUUUACCGAUAAUGCAGGUCUUUGUGGUAUGCCUGGAUUGCCUACUUGUGGGCCCCACCUCUCUGCUGGUGCAAAAAUUGGCAUUGCCUUUUGUGCAUCUGUGGCUUCCCUCCUCAUGGUUAUCUGUUUGAUGUGUUGGUGGAAAAGACGACAGAAUAUUCUCCGAGCACAGCAAAUUGCUGCAAGAGGUGCUCCUUAUGCAAAAGCAAGGACUCAAACGGCACAUGAUAUCCAGAUGACAAGGCAUCACAAUCAUGGUUAUGCAAGGACAGCCGUUGAGAAUGGGCCUAGCUUACUGUCAUGAUUAAUCAACCAUCGCCUUCAGAAUCCAAUCCAUUUGAAGUUUGUUCCUGCUUUGGUUUCUGGAAUUGGAUUUGCUCCUAAAUAUGAGUCCCAAGACCUGAUGAUUUGAUUUGGCACACUCGUUGAAUUAAUGAGAGAUCCUUUUCGAGCAGUGACGAAAAGUGAUGAUAUUAAUGGCAAGUAUGCGGUGAAAAGAUUCUUCUGCUUUUGUUUAAAGUAAGCAAGCACAGGUACUCAUCGUCUUAGCAAGUCUAGUUUCUCCGUUUUAGCUCAGAAUCAAGUAAUGGUAAACUAAAAGUUAUGCUGAGGAGAAAGCUUAGCUUUCCUAAUUAACCUAAGAACAUAAGCAUUACCAUUAUUUGAACUUUGGGUGGUGAAUUGAAGAACACGAUUAAAUUUGUCAGAACAUAAUUUAACCUAGGGUAGCUGGUCUGUACCAAUGGGCAGUGGGCUGUAAGCAUAAUUUGAAUUUUGGUGAGCGAGUUUGGGGGCUCGAAGCUGAGGAAAGCUGACCUCAUACCUCAGUGGUGUGAAUUUUUAGCGCAGUUGAUAUUUUGGACCACAAUAAAUUGUUAAAAUUGCCCUUCAGCAAUCCUUUUGCUUUUUGUACUGUCACCACUUAAUUUCACUUUGCUGUUGGGCUGUCAAUGAGGAUGGGGAAAGGGGGAGGAUAACUGUUA